rnacentral:rRNA from 1 species
AUUGAACGCUGGCGGCGUGCUUAACACAUGCAAGUCGAUCGGUAACAGGUGUAGCAAUACAUGCUGACGAGAGGCGGACGGGUGAGUAAUGCUUGGGAAUCUGCCUAUUAGUGGGGGACAACCCGGGGAACUCGGGCUAAUACCGCAUACGCUCUACGGAGGAAAGCCGGGGACCGCAAGGCCUGGCGCUAAUAGAUGAGCCCAAGUCGGAUUAGCUAGUUGGUAGGUAACGGCCUACCAAGGCGACCAAAUCCGUAGCUGGUCUGAGAGGACGACCAGGCCACACCGGAA